rnacentral:rRNA from 1 species
GGUGAUCUGCCCUGCACUCUGGGAUAAGCCUGGGAAACUGGGUCUAAUACCGGAUAGGACCGCACUUUAGUGUGUGUGGUGGAAAGUUUUUUCGGUGUAGGAUGAGCCCGCGGCCUAUCAGCUUGUUGGUGGGGUAAUGGCCUACCAAGGCGGCGACGGGUAGCCGGACUGAGAGGUUGGUCGGCCACAUUGGGACUGAGAUACGGCCCAGACUCCUACGGGAGGCAGCAGUGGGGAAUAUUGCACAAUGGGCGCAAGCCUGAUGCAGCGACGCCGCGUGGGGGAUGACGGCCUUCGGGUUGUAAACUCCUUUCGCCAGGGACGAAGCGUUUUGUGACGGUACCUGGAGAAGAAGCACCGGCUAACUACGUGCCAGCAGCCGCGGUAAUACGUAGGGUGCAAGCGUUGUCCGGAAUUACUGGGCGUAAAGAGCUCGUAGGUGGUUUGUCACGUCGUCUGUGAAAUUCCACAGCUUAACUGUGGGCGUGCAGGCGAUACGGGCUGACUUGAGUACUGUAGGGGUAACUGGAAUUCCUGGUGUAGCGGUG